CCUACGGGUGGCAGCAGUCGAGAAUCAUUCACAAUGGGGGAAACCCUGAUGGUGCGACGCCGCGUGGGGGAAUGAAGGUCUUCGGAUUGUAAACCCCUGUCAUGUGGGAGCAAAUUAAAAAGAUAGUACCACAAGAGGAAGAGACGGCUAACUCUGUGCCAGCAGCCGCGGUAAUACAGAGGUCUCAUGCGUUGUUCGGAAUCACUGGGCGUAAAGCGGGCGUAGGCUGUUUCGUAAGUCGUGUGUGAAAGGCGCGGGCUCAACCCGCGGACGGCACAUGAUACUGCGAGACUAGAGUAAGGGAGGGGGAACCGGAAUUCUCGGUGUAGCAGUGAAAUGCGUAGAUAUCGAGAGGAACACUCGUGGCGAAGGCGGGUUCCUGGACAUUAACUGACGCUGAGGCACGAAGGCCAGGGGAGCGAAAGGGAUUAGAUACCCGGGUAGUC
rnacentral:rRNA from 1 species